UGGCUCAGUGGUAGAGUGCUUGCCUUGCAUGCAUGAGGCCCUGGGUUUGAUUCCUAG
rnacentral:tRNA from 1 species